rnacentral:rRNA from 1 species
GGUUAAGUGACUAAGCGUACACGGUGGAUGCCUUGGCAGUCAGAGGCGAUGAAAGACGUAGUAACUUGCGAUAAGCCCAGAUUAGGUAGUAACAACCAUUUGAGUCUGGGAUUUCUGAAUGGGGAAACCCACUAGCAUAAGCUAGUAUCGUUAUGUGAAUACAUAGCAUAACGAGGCGAACCGGGGGAACUGAAACAUCUAAGUACCCCGAGGAAAAGAAAUCAACCGAGAUUCCGAAAGUAGCGGCGAGCGAAAUUGGACUAGCCCUUAAGCUUUACACGCGUUAGACGAACGGUCUGGAAAGUCCGACGAUACAGGGUGAUAGUCCCGUAGUUGACGACGUGUGUUCAGUGAAAUCGAGUAGGGCGGGACACGUGAUAUCCUGUCUGAAUAUGGGGGGACCAUCCUCCAAGGCUAAAUACUACUGACUGACCGAUAGUGAACCAGUACCGUGAGGGAAAGGCGAAAAGAACCCCUGUGAGGGGAGUGAAAUAGAACCUGAAACCGUGUACGUACAAGCAGUAGGAGCAGGCUUUGUCCUGUGACUGCGUACCUUUUGUAUAAUGGGUCAGCGACUUAUAUUCAGUGGCAAGGUUAACCAUCUAGGGGAGCCGUAGGGAAACCGAGUCUUAACUGGGCGUUCAGUCUCUGGAUAUAGACCCGAAACCAGGUGAUCUAGCCAUGGGCAGGUUGAAGGUUGAGUAACAUCAACUGGAGGACCGAACCGACUAAUGUUGAAAAAUUAGCGGAUGACUUGUGGCUAGGGGUGAAAGGCCAAUCAAACCUGGAGAUAGCUGGUUCUCCCCGAAAGCUAUUUAGGUAGCGCCUCGGACGAAUACUACUGGGGGUAGAGCACUGUUAAGGCUAGGGGGUCAUCCCGACUUACCAACCCUUUGCAAACUCCGAAUACCAGUAAGUACUAUCCGGGAGACACACGGCGGGUGCUAACGUCCGUCGUGGAGAGGGAAACAACCCAGACCGCCAGCUAAGGUCCCAAAUUACUACUAAGUGGGAAACGAUGUGGGAAGGCUCAGACAGCCAGGAUGUUGGCUUAGAAGCAGCCAUCAUUUAAAGAAAGCGUAAUAGCUCACUGGUCGAGUCGGCCUGCGCGGAAGAUGUAACGGGGCUAAGUA